rnacentral:rRNA from 1 species
GAUGAACGCUGGCGGCGUGCUUAACACAUGCAAGUCGAACGGGAUCCAAGGGGUGCUUGCACUUUUUGGUGAGAGUGGCGAACGGGUGAGUAACACGUGAGUAACCUGUCCUUUUCUUUGGGAUAAGCAUUCGAAAGGGUGUUUAAUACCUUAUGUUCUGUCUGCCUCGCAUGGGGUGGGUGGGAAAGGCUUUGGCCGGAUUUGGGUGGGCUCGCGGUCUAUCAGCUUGUUGGUGGGGUGAUGGCUUACCAAGGCUUUGACGGGUAGCCGGCCUGAGAGGGUGGUCGGUCACAUUGGGACUGAGAUACGGCCCAGACUCCUGCGGGAGGCAGCAGUGGGGGAAAUUGCACAAUGGGCGAAAGCCUGAUGCAGCGACGCCGCGUGGGGGAUGAAGGCCUUCGGGUUGUAAACUUCUUUUGCUCUGAACAAGGCAUGCCAGUGGGUGUGUUGAGUGUAGGGGUUGAUUAGCGCCGGCUAACUACGUG